rnacentral:snRNA from 1 species
AUACUCUGGUUUCUCUUCGGAUUGUAUAAAUCUUUCGCCUUUUACUAAAGAUUUCCGUGGAGAGGACCAUUUAUGAGUUUGUAACUAAUUUCAAAC